CGCAGGGUAGAGCAGCUGGCAGCUCGUCGGGCUCAUAACCCGGAGGUCGUAGGUUCGAAUCCUACCCCUGCUA
rfam:Spirochaeta sp. JC202, whole genome shotgun sequence.